ACACAAAUUCCUAGACGGCUAAAUUUUGCACCAUUCGAUAGCAAAAAUUAAAAGAAAUCAUGUUUCUUUGGACGAAAACUGCGCUUAUGUGGUUGCUAUUUCCACAAAAUGCGAUUGAAUAUUCUCCAUACAAUUUCUCAUAAUUUUCUAUAGAAGCCAUUGAAUGAACAGGUGGCGCCGCGAGUAUUUCAACAUUAUAAAUUCAAUUUAACACUUUAACCUCAAAAUAAAUGUUUUUGUUUUCAUUUUUGUGUCCGCAUCUAUACAGUACGUCCGGAAUACGUGAAUUUUUCGUGGUGCCCCACGUUUUGGGCAUGCAUGUGACCUUGGUCGUGUUGUGAAAUUGUUAUUGUUACACAGGGACGCUGGGGACGCUUUAUUGAUUUCCUUUAAAUAUUAAAAGAAAUCUCCGUCGGUGCAUAUGAUCUUGUACUCAAUCAGCCUAACCGGAUGCUGGAAAUCAGAUUCUCUUGUAAAAUCCGUUCCGACCGUCAAAAGCCACGCGAGGUACGCCGGAUAUCGCUGAAUUUCAUCGGGAAGAAAUACCUGUGAACACUGCAUCCAGAACUUCUCAACCAUUGUUUACGUGAGUGUCUUCUCGGUGGUCGAAUGCGGGAUCCUGGCCAUCAUUUAUGGCACCUACAUUGCCCGCGUGAUGCGUUUUAAUCGUACCAGAUCACUUCCGGAUACAAUGCGGGGUUCCUUCAAGGGUUGCAGCGAAAUGCCGAUGUGGCGGAUUUGCUGAAGAAGCAGGCGUACCUCAUAAGCUUCCUCCAGGAUCACAAU